rnacentral:rRNA from 1 species
GUGAGUCAUCGAAUCUUUGAACGCAUAUUGCGCUCUCUGGCAUUCCAGAGAGCAUGCCUGUUUGAGCGUCAUUUCUCUCUCAAGAUCCUCUAGGGGACUUGGUAUUGAGUGAUACUCUGUGUUAACUUGAAAUACUCUAGGCAGAGCUCCCCCUAGAAACCCUCUGGGCCGAAAUAAUGUAUUAGGUUACUACCAACUCGUUAUUUUCCAGACAGAUCUUCAAGGCAGAGCUCGGCUGAACAACCUUUUCUAAGCUUGACCUCAAAUCAGGUAGGUACUACCCGCUGAACUUAAGCAUAUCCAAUAAGCGGAGG